GGUUAUUUCCCUGAUGUACCAAGUUCGUAAAUGUGGCUACACCUGCUGGCUUUAAGAACAGAGCAAACUAUUUACUGAGGAAACCAGGUGGAGUACAGGAGUUGACAGGAGAGUGAUUUGUGGCUAAAUCGACCGCUGAUGCAUCAAUCGCCACGUGUUGAUCCCCCGUUGGACUGCCUGACACAGCUAACAAGCCCCUUGGCCAGACAGAGGCACAGAGAAGUGAUUUGCCCAAAGAAACCCAACAGGUGACUUAGCCAGAAAUGGAACUUGAAUCCCACUCCAGCCCCCUCUCCAUUGCCUCCACCAAGAUAGCAUACCACUGAAAAACACUAUUAUUCAGUCGAAUAUCUGCUGGUGAAAAGUUUGCACACUCUAUCAGGAAAGCAAGAAUCCAAGGUGUAAAGGACUCUGAGUAGAGGGGGAUGGAGCGAAGUGGUGAAAUAUGCAUAUGGACAAAACAUCUUGAAGAACUGCAGUUACUGUACAGCUCCACUAUCACAAGUCUCUGGAAACAAUCAGACAGAGGAAUGAGGAAGAAGCAUCAGACGGCAACUCCGUUAACUUUUUCCAGGUUAUGAAUUACAUCCUUAAAUUUUCUUCAACAUUCAAAACUGACUUCAGUAGGAAGCUACAAGCAUAGAACAAAGACAGGACUGGGCCCACUGAAGUGUCUUGCAAGAAUAAUAUUGCUACACUGUUCAACAAAACUUAAAUUGAAAAUCAAAGAAAGCAAAAUACUAAAAGGUCCUGAAUCAUCAGAAACAGAAAUAAUAUCCUGCUCAACCACAACUUUCAAAAUUUUUAAAGAUAAUUCCCUCUGACAAUAUAAAGUUACUUCAGGAACUACUUAACCAGAAUCAGCUACACUAAUCAAACUCAGUGGCUGUUCUUCUGGUCUCCUACUUGGUCACAAUGAUAGAAGCAGAAAAGUAACAAAAAUGUGUUUGGAAUGUCUGACUGGUUCUGGGCCAUUCUUCAUUAACCAACUUUAAGAUUUAGCAGAAGUAAAUCAAAAUAGGUCCAUUGCCCCAACGAAAACAUGUAAGUCAGUGCAACUUCAAAAUGAAAGGAGGCAAUGGUCUUCCCAUGACAUGGGUAUAUAAUCAUCUCCCUCACU